GACGAACGCUGGCGGCGUGCUUAACACAUGCAAGUCGAACGGAAAGGCCCCUUUGGGGGUACUCGAGUGGCGAACGGGUGAGUAACACGUGAGUAACCUGCCCUUGACUUCGGGAUAACUUCAGGAAACUGGGGCUAAUACCGGAUAGGAAUCCUUGCUGCAUGGUGGGGGUUGGAAAGCUUCGGCGGUUUUGGAUGGACUCGCGGCUUAUCAGCUUGUUGGUGGGGUAGUGGCUUACCAAGGCUUUGACGGGUAGCCGGCCUGAGAGGGCGACCGGCCACAAUGGGACUUAGAGACGGCCCAGACCCCCACGGGAGGCAGCAGUGGGGAAUAUUGCACAAUGGGCGGGAGCCCGAUGCAGGAACGCCGCGGGCGGGAUGACGGCCUUUCGGUUGGAAAACGCCUUCAGCAGGGGCGAAGCUUGUGGUGACGGUACCUGCAGAAGAAGCAACGGCUAACUACGUG
rnacentral:rRNA from 1 species